rnacentral:rRNA from 1 species
UACGUAGGUGGCAAGCGUUGUCCGGAUUUACUGGGUGUAAAGGGCGUGUAGCCGGGUUGACAAGUCAGAUGUGAAAUCCUGCGGCUUAACCGCAGAACUGCAUUUGAAACUGUUGAUCUUGAGUACUGGAGAGGCAGACGGAAUUCCUAGUGUAGCGGUGAAAUGCGUAGAUAUUAGGAGGAACACCAGUGGCGAAGGCGAUUUGCUGGGCCAUUACUGACGCUCAUGCACGAAAGCGUGGGGAGCAAAUAGG